GAUGAACGCUGGCGGCGUGCUUAACACAUGCAAGUCGAACGAUGAAGCCCAGCUUGCUGGGUGGAUUAGUGGCGAACGGGUGAGUAACACGUGAGUAACCUGCCCUUGACUCUGGGAUAAGCCUGGGAAAACUGGGUCUAAUACUGGAUAUGACUUCUCAUCGCAUGGUGGGGGUGGAAGGAUUUAUUGGUCUUGGAUGGACUCGCGGCCUAUCAGCUUGUUGGUGAGGUAAUGGCUCACCAAGGCGACGACGGGUAGCCGGCCUGAGAGGGUGACCGGCCACACUGGGACUGAGACACGGCCCAGACUCCUACGGGAGGCAGCAGUGGGGAAUAUUGCACAAUGGGCGCAAGCCUGAUGCAGCGACGCCGCGUGAGGGAUGACGGCCUUCGGGUUGUAAACCUCUUUCAGUAGGGAAGAAGCGAGAGUGACGGUACCUGCAGAAGAAGCGCCGGCUAACUACGUG
rnacentral:rRNA from 1 species